rnacentral:rRNA from 1 species
AGAGUUUGAUCCUGGCUCAGAACGAACGCUGGCGGCAGGCUUAACACAUGCAAGUCGAACGCGUGUAGCAAUACACGAGUGGCGCACGGGUGAGUAACGCGUGGAUAUCUGCCUUUUGGUUCGGAAUAACUCCGGGAAACUGGAGCUAAUACCGGAUGGUUCCUACGGGAUAAAGAUUUAUCGCCAAAAGAUGAGUCCGCGUACGAUUAGCUAGUUGGUGAGGUAAUGGCUCACCAAGGCGACGAUCGUUAGCUGGUCUGAGAGGACGAUCAGCCACACUGGGACUGAGACACGGCCCAGACUCCUACGGGAGGCAGCAGUGGGGAAUAUUGGACAAUGGGGGCAACCCUGAUCCAGCCAUGCCGCGUGAGUGAUGAAGGCCUUCGGGUUGUAAAGCUCUUUUGGCGGGGACGAUGAUGACGGUACCCGCAGAAUAAGCCCCGGCUAACUUCGUG